AUGAACGCUGGCGGCGUGCCUAAUACAUGCAAGUCGAGCGAACAGACGAGGAGCUUGCUCCUCUGGCGUUAGCGGCGGACGGGUGAGUAACACGUGGAUAACCUACCUAUAAGACUGGGAUAACUUCGGGAAACCGGAGCUAAUACCGGAUAAUAUAUUGAACCGCAUGGUUCAAUAGUGAAAGACGGUUUUGCUGUCACUUAUAGAUGGAUCCGCGCCGCAUUAGCUAGUUGGUAAGGUAACGGCUUACCAAGGCAACGAUGCGUAGCCGACCUGAGAGGGUGAUCGGCCACACUGGAACUGAGAAACGGUCCAGACUCCUACGGGAGGCAGCAGUAGGGAAUCUUCCGCAAUGGGCGAAAGCCUGACGGAGCAACGCCGCGUGAGUGAUGAAGGUCUUCGGAUCGUAAAACUCUGUUAUUAGGGAAGAACAAAUGUGUAAGUAACUAUGCACGUCUUGACGGUACCUAAUCAGAAAGCCACGGCUAACUACGUG
rnacentral:rRNA from 1 species